GAUGAACGCUGGCGGCGUGCCUAAUACAUGCAAGUCGAGCGGAGCGGGGACGGGUGAGUAACACGUGGAUAACCUCCUAUAAGACGGGGAUAACUUUGGGAAACAGGGGCUAAACGCAAAACUUAUCAAUGGAUACACGCUGCAUUAGCUGGUUGGUAAGUUAACGGCUUACCAAGGCAACGAUGCAUAGCCGACCUGAAAGGGUGAUCGGCCACACUGGGACUGAGACACGGCCCAGACUCCUACGGGAGGCAGCAGUAGGGAAGAUGGCGCAAUGGGCGAAAGCCUGACGGAGCAAUGCCGCGUGAGUGAUGAAGGUCUUCGGAUCGUAAAACUCUUUUAGUAGGGAAGCGGUACCUACUCAGAAAGCCACGGCUAACUACGUGCCAGCAGCCGCGGUAAUAC
rnacentral:rRNA from 1 species